GGGGUCGUAUUGGUUUUGACAGCAUAUGGCGCGGUUGGUGUAAGCAUGCAGUGCGUUGGAUAAUUAGCACUUAAAUCUGAAUAUUCAAACUUCAAAUGGCAAUACACAGUAUGCCAUGGCUGCCUAAUCAGUGAUUAGUUAGUCAUUUGGGCCGCCGAACAGGUUGACCUGUUACCAGGUUCCGCCGCCGACUCAAAACAAACACAGGUUGCUGCUGCAACAGGCUGUGCCUGCAGCUUAAGACCAUCCAGCUAAGCUUUGAAUUGGUUUGUUCAUUUCCUGUUCAUCGCCUACAAUUAAUAAUGAAAUAAGCAUGUAGAAAGCCAAUGGUGACGAUGUUUGGACAGGGGUUCGACUCCCCUCGACUCCACUU
rnacentral:tmRNA from 1 species